rnacentral:lncRNA from 1 species
GUCGGGAUGUAUAAGUACCGGGCCACGUCCACUUGUAUUUUUGUCCAUCUGAUGAGUUAACCUUUUUCAACUGAGUUUUAUAGUUCGUUCUUAUGUUUUACUGUUAUACCACUGUCCCAUGUUAGGGGGAGGGUUGGGAUCCCGCUAACAUGUUUAACCCCGCCACAUUAUUUAUGUAUGUGCCUGUCCCAAGUCAGGAGCCUGUAAUUCAGUGGUUGUCGUUUGUUUAUGUGUUACAUAUUUGUUUUUCGUUCAUUUUUUUUUACAUAAAUAAGGCCGUUAGUUUUCUCGUUUGAAUUGUUUUACAUUGUCUUAUCGGGGCCUUUUAUAAUAGCUGACUAUGCGGUAUGGGCUUUGCUCAUUGUUGAAGGCUGUACGGUGACCUAUAGUUGUUAAUGUCUAUGUCAUUUUGGUCUUUUGUGGAUAGUUGUCUCAUUGGCAAUCAUACCACAUCUUCUUCGGCUAUUGUCUGCUCUUUGGUCUCUUUGAUAUAUUCCCUAUUUCUAUUCUCAAUGUUAAAUAUAUAAUUUGUCAAAAUAUGACAGACGAAUAGCUGCAAUGCCCUACACCCUCAAAGUGUAUCAAUAUUGGUGCCGGAUAUGUUACUUUGGCUGGAAAUCUCGUUAAAUACAAAGAACUUCCAUGUUUACCGUCUACGACCCAUCUGUAUACACAAUAUGAUGGCAGGGGUCUUCCACGUACUACGUACAAAAACAAUGCCACAUGGCAUAAGACCUGCCAUCUAAACACAGAACUAAAGAGAGCUAAAAUAAGACAUCAAAAGGAUACAGAUGAUAUGUAAAAAAAAAACAGGCAAUCGGAGCUGGAAACCCCACCCGCACCGUCAAUGUGUACAAAUGCUUCAGUACACAACUUUAUUAGAGAAG